UUGUGGAGGAGGACGCCGAAGGUGGGGCUAAUGACUGGGGUGAAGUCGUAACAAGGUAGCCGUACCGGAAGGUGCGGCUGGAUCACCUCCUAACAGGGAGACAACAAAAUGUUUAAUAUUAUUAUUUUGUCACCUUAGGUCGAUCGGUAUCUCACGUUUUUAAUUUAUUAAGAAUCUCAUUUCCUAAGUUUUUCUAGGUCACACCCAUUGUUUUUCCUGGGCCAUUAGCUCAGGUGGUUAGAGCGCACCCCUGAUAAGGGUGAGGUCCCUGGUUCAAGUCCAGGAUGGCCCAUAUCUCUAUGUUGGGGUAUAGCUCAGUUGGUAGAGCGCCUGCUUUGCAAGCAGGAUGUCAGCGGUUCGAGUCCGCUUACCUCCACUGAUCACCACCUCUUCCAUAACCGGUAGAAAGGAAAUUUUUUGAGUUGUGAUCAAAUUCUGAAAGAAUCUAGCUUCCUAAUGAAAUCAUUAAGAUGCUGGACUCAUUGAAUUAAUUUCGUUGUUUUCAGAGAACCUUGACAACUGCAUAGAUUAUUUUUAAAGACAAUAAGCAUCUUUAAUGAUGCAGAUUUAUUAUUUGUGCAAAUGCAUUAAUAACAAUUCUAUUAAGCUGAUGCUUCAAUAUUUGAAGUUAUUGGUCAAGCUACAA
rnacentral:misc_RNA from 1 species